rnacentral:misc_RNA from 1 species
UUCUUUUUUUUUUUUUCUUUUUAUUUUCUUUUAUUUUCAUUUUUUUUAAUUUUUCUUUUCCUCUCAUUUUUCUUUCUUUUUCAAUUUCAAUUUCUUCCUUUUUCCCUCCCUCUUCUUCAAACCCUAACCCUAAAUUUUUUUUCCCUAAUCAUCACGACCAAAGCCACAACGGUUUUUGGUUUCUGUAAUUUCAUCUUCCAGUAGUAGAUGAUGCAGCAUCAGAGGCUGAAGCAACAGACCAUAAUGCAGUACCCCCAUCCUGCUCUUCUAGCUGCUCCCCAGGUUCGUUUUGUGCUUUGACUUUGGGAUUUUUGUGGUACCGUUUAAUUUUUAAUUCUUACUUGGUGAUCAGCUUUAGUUUUAUAUCUAAAAUUAAGACUUUCUGAGUGUAUUGCAAGCUUUAAUUAAGGUAUGUAAA